rnacentral:rRNA from 1 species
AAGCGAAGCCGCGAGGCAGAGCAAAUCUGAAAAAGACAUCCCUAGUUCGGAUUGUAGGCUGCAACUCGCCUACAUGAAGCUGGAAUUGCUAGUAAUCACAGGUCAGCAUACUGUGGUGAAUACGUUCCCGGGCCUUGUACACACCGCCCGUCACACCAUGGGAGUUGGAAAUGCCCGAAGUCAGUGGCCCAACCGGAAGGGGGGAGCUGCCGAAGGCAGGUUCGAUGACUGGGGUGAAGUCGUAACAAGGUAAC